rnacentral:rRNA from 1 species
GACGAACGCUGGCGGCGUGCUUAACACAUGCAAGUCGAGCGGAAAGGCCCUUUCGGGGGUACUCGAGCGGCGAACGGGUGAGUAACACGUGAGUAAUCUGCCCCUGGCUUUGGGAUAGCCACCGGAAACGGUGAUUAAUACCGGAUACGACCACUUCUCGCAUGGGAUGGUGGUGGAAAGCUCUUCGGCCAGGGAUGUGCUCGCGGCCUAUCAGCUUGAUGGUGAGGUAAUGUCUCACCAUGGCUUCGACGGGUAGCCGGCCUGAGAGGGUGACCGGUCACACUGGGACUGAGACACGGCCCAGACUCCUACGGGAGGCAGCAGUGGGGAAUAUUGGACAAUGGGCGGAAGCCUGAUCCAGCAACGCCGCGUGAGGGAUGACGGCCUUCGGGUUGUAAACCUCUUUCAGCAGGGACGAAGCGCAAGUGACGGUACCUGCAGAAGAAGCACCGGCCGACUACGUGCCAGCCGCCGCGGUAA